AUGAACGCUGGCGGCGUGCCUAAUACAUGCAAGUCGAGCGCACAGACGAGGAGCUUGCUCCUCUGACGUUAGCGGCGGACGGGUGAGUAACACGUGGAUAACCUACCUAUAAGACUGGGAUAACUUCGGGAAACCGGAGCUAAUACCGGGUAAUAUAUUGAACCGCAUGGUUCAAUAGUGAAAGACGGUUUUGCUGUCACUUAUAGAUGGAUCCGCGCCGCAUUAGCUAGUUGGUAAGGUAACGGCUUACCAAGGCGACGAUGCGUAGCCGACCUGAGAGGGUGAUCGGCCACACUGGAACUGAGACACGGUCCAGACUCCUACGGGAGGCAGCAGUAGGGAAUCUUCCGCAAUGGGCGAAAGCCUGACGGAGCAACGCCGCGUGAGUGAUGAAGGUCUUCGGAUCGUAAAACUCUGUUAUUAGGGAAGAACAAAUGUGUAAGUAACUAUGCACGUCUUGACGGUACCUAAUCAGAAAGCCACGGCUAACUACGUG
rnacentral:rRNA from 1 species